GGGAGAGUCAGGUGAGGUCCUGAGGGAGAGUCAGGUGACGUCCUGAGGGAGAGUCAGGUGACGUCCUGAGGGAGAGUCAGGUGACGUCCUGAGGGAGAGUCAGGUGAGGUCCUGAGGGAGAGUCAGGUGACGUCCUGAGGGAGAGUCACGUGACGUCCUGAGGGAGAGUCAGGUGACGUCCUGAGGGAGAGUCACGUGACGUCCUGAGGGAGAGUCAGGUGACGUCCUGAGGGAGAGUCAGGUGACGUCCUGAGGGAGAGUCAGGUGACGUCCUGAGGGAGAGUCAGGUGAGGUCCUGAGGGAGAGUCAGGUGACGUUCUGAGGGAGAGUCAGGUGACGUCCUGAGGGAGAGUCAGGUGAGGUCCUGAGGGAGAGUCAGGUGACGUCCUGAGGGAGAGUCAGGUGAGGUCCUGAGGGAGAGUCAGGUGAGGUCCUGAGGGAGAGUCAGGUGAGGUCCUGAGGGAGAGUCAGGUGAGGUCCUGAGGGAGAGUCAGGUGACGUCCUGAGGGAGAGUCAGGUGAGGUCCUGAGGGAGAGUCAGGUGACGUCCUGAGGGAGAGUCAGGUGACGUCCUGAGGGAGAGUCAGGUGACGUCCUGAGGGAGAGUCAGGUGACGUCCUGAGGGAGAGUCAGGUGACGUCCUGAGGGAGAGUCAGGUGAGGUCCUGAGGGAGAGUCAGGUGACGUCCUGAGGGAGAGUCAGGUCAGGGCGUCAGUCAGGACAUGACCUGACUCUCACUUCCGCCCCUCCCUCCACACACCCUUCCCAUUUCACCUUGUGUGUGUGUGUGUGUGCUCUCUCUCU